rnacentral:rRNA from 1 species
AGUAAAACUAAGCAAAAAGAAUUUUUAGUUUAACCCCCCGAAACUAGGUGAGCUACUUCGAAACAGCCGUAAGAGCUAACUCAUCUCUGUUGCAAUAGAGUGGGACGAUUUCCAAGUAGAGGCGAUAAACCUAACGCACCAAGAGAUAGCUGGUUACUCAAGAAAAGAAUCUUAGUUCUACCUUAAAUUUUCCAAGUCUGUAUAAACAACCCCCAAAUUUAAGAGUUAUUCAAAUAGGGCACAGCCUAUUCGAAAAAGGGUACAACCUAUAAUAUCGGGUAAUAGUAUUAAGAAAAAUAUUAAGUGGGCCUAAAAACAGCCACCUUUUAAAAAGCGUUAAAGUUUAUUAUUUUCUCUAUUUAAUACCUUGUUCACUAUAAAACCCAUAAACAAUAUUGAGUAAUCCCAUAAUCAUAUGGGAGAUUUUAUGCUAGAACUAGUAAUAAGAAGCAGAACUUCUCCAAAAUGUAAGCCUAAGCCAGUUUAGACAUUCUACUGGCAAUUAACGAAAAUGCAUCAACUUCAACAACAUAUAAUAAGAAAAACCUCAAGAUAUUAACGUUAACCUUACACCAGAACAUUAAUGGAAAGAUUAAAAGAGAAAGAAGGAAC